UCCAGACUCCUACGGGAGGCAGCAGUGGGGAAUAUUGCACAAUGGGCGGAAGCCUGAUGCAGCAACGCCGCGUGCGGGAUGACGGCCUUCGGGUUGUAAACCGCUUUCGCCUGUGACGAAGCGUGAGUGACGGUAAUGGGUAAAGAAGCACCGGCUAACUACGUGCCAGCAGCCGCGGUGAUACGUAGGGUGCGAGCGUUGUCCGGAUUUAUUGGGCGUAAAGGGCUCGUAGGUGGUUGAUCGCGUCGGAAGUGUAAUCUUGGGGCUUAACCCUGAGCGUGCUUUCGAUACGGGUUGACUUGAGGAAGGUAGGGGAGAAUGGAAUUCCUGGUGGAGCGGCGGAAUGCGCAGAUAUCAGGAGGAACACCAGUGGCGAAGGCGGUUCUCUGGGCCUUUCCUGACGCUGAGGAGCGAAAGCGUGGGGAGCGAACAGGCUUAGAUACCCUGGUAGUCCACGCUGUAAACGGUGGGUACUAGGUGUGGGGUCCAUUCCACGGGUUCCGUGCCGUAGCUAACGCUUUAAGUACCCCGCCUGGGGAGUACGGCCGCAAGGCUAAAACUCAAAGGAAUUGACGGGGGCCCGCACAAG
rnacentral:rRNA from 1 species